GACGAACGCUGGCGGCGUGCCUAAUACAUGCAAGUUGAGCGCUGAAGGUUGGUACUUGUACCAACUGGAUGAGCAGCGAACGGGUGAGUAACGCGUGGGGAAUCUGCCUUUGAGCGGGGGACAACAUUUGGAAACGAAUGCUAAUACCGCAUAAAAACUUUAAACACAAGUUUUAAGUUUGAAAGAUGCAAUUGCAUCACUCAAAGAUGAUCCCGCGUUGUAUUAGCUAGUUGGUGAGGUAAAGGCUCACCAAGGCGAUGAUACAUAGCCGACCUGAGAGGGUGAUCGGCCACAUUGUGACUGAGACACGGCCCAAACUCCUACGGGAGGCAGCAGUAGGGAAUCUUCGGCAAUGGACGAAAGUCUGACCGAGCAACGCCGCGUGAGUGAAGAAGGUUGUCGGAUCGUAAAACUCUGUUGGUAGAGAAGAACGUUGGUGAGAGUGGAAAGCUCAUCAAGUGACGGUAACUACCCAGAAAGGGACGGCUAACUACGUG
rnacentral:rRNA from 1 species